rnacentral:other from 4 species
AAGGCUCUGCGGUGUUCGUGUUAGGAGUUGAUAUCUUUGUAACCUAGAAGUGUUAUCUGGGAACCUAGAUUUGUUCUCUGUCGUCUUUAUGUAAAAGUAAAGCGCGGUUAACAAUCGGUGCCCCCCUUGAAUAGAGGGUCACAAGAUAGAUCUUCUCACGGCACAAGGUAGAGCCUUU